GACGAACGCUGGCGGCGUGCUUAACACAUGCAAGUCGAACGGAAAGGCACUGAUUUUGUGCGGUUCUCGAGUGGCGAACGCGUGAGUAACACGUGUGUAACCUGCCCUUCACUUUGGGAUAACUUCAGGAAACUGGGGCUAAUACCGGAUAGGAUCUCCUGCUGCAUGGUGGGCGUUGGAAAGUUUCGGCGGUUGGGGAUAGACUCGCGGCUUACCAGCUUGCUGGUGGGGUAGUGGCUUACCAAGGCUGUGACGGGUAGCCGGCCUGAGAGAGUGACCGGCCACACUGGGACUGAGAGACGGCACAGACUGCUACGGGAGGCAGCAGUGGGGAAUAUUGCACAAUGGGCGGAAGCCUGAUGCAGCAGCGCCGCGUGCGGGAAGACGGCCUUCGGGUUGAAAACAGCUUUCGCCUGUGACGAAGCGGUAGUGACGGUAAUGGAUAAAGAAGCACCGGCUAACUACGUG
rnacentral:rRNA from 1 species